AAGCAGUUUUGGUGUAUAGAACAUGCCCCUGCAGCCUCACUGCUCAAUCCUCUGCCACUUAGGAGUUAAAUCCCUUUGUUUAUGAACCCUAGUCACACCUCCCUGCAUGUGACUUGCACAGCCUUCCAUAAACACUUCCUGUAAAGAGAGCCCUAUUUAGGCUUUCUUUAUUGCAAGUUCUGUUUAAUUAAGAUUUUCUUAUCCCCUG